UGUCUACAUACCUGGGGAGCCUGAGUUCCCAUCUGACGGAGUUGUGGGGGGACCGGGGAUCCUUGCGAGAAUCGAGUUGCUGGCGAAAAUGGGAGCAGAAUCCAGAAAGAUGUUCACAGAUGGGACUACUGAGCCUCAGAGAGGUUCCCUGAUUUACCCAAGGUCACACAGCAGGGCCCUACAUGCAGUGGCAGAAAGAAGAGUAAACUCUGGUCCUGGUCCCUGACCUGGUGAGACCCUAGGUGGGAAGCUGCAAGAAAGGAGGAAAGGAUGUGGUAGCCCAGAACGCCCCCCCAACUCUC